rnacentral:rRNA from 1 species
CCCUGCGUACCGAGCCAACUCGUUGCCUCCGGCGUCCGCCCUCCCUCCUCCCCCGGGGGGGAGAGGGCGCGCCGGGCGGCCAGCAAACAAACCACUUUCGCGUCGAUGGCAUCGUCUGACAGCGUCUUAUAGAAAUAUAAAGUACAACUUUCAACAACGGAUCUCUUGGCUCCGGCAUCGAUGAAGAACGCAGCGAAAUGCGAUAACUAGUGUGAAUUGCAGAUUUCAGUGAAUCAUCGAGUCUUUGAACGCACAUUGCGCCUCUUGGUAUUCCUCGAGGCAUGCCUGUCCGAGCGUCAUGUACAACCCUCAAGCGCGAGCUUGGUGUUGGGGAUCGCCCCUGAAAUACGGCGGCGUCCCUCAAAUGCAUCGGCGGUGCUGGUGUCAGCCCGGAGCGCAGCAGACAUGCGGCUUCCAGGCGGCCACGCGCCCGCCGCCCAACGACCAUGACCUUCAUGUUCCUUGGACCUCGGAUCAGGUAGGGAUACCCGCUGAACUUAA